GGGCCAGUAGCUCAGCUAGGUAGAGCGACAGGCUCUUAACCUGUUGGUCGGGGGUUCAAAUCCCCUCUGGCCCGCCA
rnacentral:tRNA from 1 species